CAUGUGUGAAAAAAUAUGAGUGGUGGAGCUGCUUCAGGAACUGCCAAACUGUUUCCACAUCAGGAUGAUUUGGACAAACAGGAAUUGUCAGCAUGCUGCUGCAGGGCCUUAAUGAGAAGAGAGAUGCCAACAAAUGCGGAGGAACUUGGAGGCUGGAAGCAGCUGUACUGUGAAGGAAUCCUAAAUGAAUUUCAGAGCUGAUUAAGAGAAUUGGAGAUCAGAGAAAGACAAGUGGGGUUGGAGCAUCUGAGGAGGAAGGCCUGAAGUGUCUGUCAGUACGUGUUCAGAGUAAGUAAUGUUUCAGAAUAAAUAAAUCUCUCUAAAAUGAGGUCUUACAAGACAAAAUGGUUAAGACAAUGCAGUGCACUUGCAUCUUCUGUGUAUUUUAUGAAGAUCCAUGUAUUCCCAGGGAACAUGAAGGCCAGGGUGGACCAGACUGAGCAACCUGAUUUAGCUUUAGA